rnacentral:tRNA from 1 species
AAUCUUAUAUUCAAAUAUGAUAUUAAAUUGCAAAUUUAAAGGUAUUAAUAUAAUUAUUAAGGUUU